GAUGAACGCUGGCGGCGUGCUUAACACAUGCAAGUCGAACGGAAAGGCCCAAGCUUGCUUGGGUACUCGAGUGGCGAACGGGUGAGUAACACGUGGGUGAUCUGCCCUGCACUUCGGGAUAAGCCUGGGAAACUGGGUCUAAUACCGGAUAGGACCACUUCUUGGAUGUUGUGGUGGAAAGUUUUUUCGGUGUGGGAUGAGCUCGCGGCCUAUCAGCUUGUUGGUGGGGUAAUGGCCUACCAAGGCGUCGACGGGUAGCCGGCCUGAGAGGGUGUACGGCCACAUUGGGACUGAGAUACGGCCCAGACUCCUACGGGAGGCAGCAGUGGGGAAUAUUGCACAAUGGGCGCAAGCCUGAUGCAGCGACGCCACGUGGGGGAUGACGGCCUUCGGGUUGUAAACCCCUUUCGCUAGGGACGAAGCGUUUUGUGACGGUACCUGGAGAAGAAGCACCGGCUAACUACGUG
rnacentral:rRNA from 1 species